CAAGUACUCCCUCCGUCCGGAAAUACUUGUCAAAGAAAUGGAUGUAUCUAGAUGUAUUUUAGUUUUAGAUACGUCUAUUUUUAUCCAUUUCUUCGACAAGUAUUUCCGGAUGGAGGGAGUAUAAA
rnacentral:pre_miRNA from 1 species